UACAGAGGUCUCAAGCGUUGUUCGGAUUCAUUGGGCGUAAAGGGUGCGUAGGCGGACGGGGCAAGUCGGAUGUGAAAUCUCAGGGCUCAACCCUGAAACUGCAUUCGAUACUGCUCUGCUCGAGGACUGGAGAGGAGAUUGGAAUUCACGGUGUAGCAGUGAAAUGCGUAGAUAUCGUGAGGAAGACCAGUGGACGGAAGGCGGAUCUCUGGACAGUUCCUGACGCUGAGGCACGAAGGCCAGGGGAGCAAACGGG
rnacentral:rRNA from 1 species